UCCCAGUAAACGGCGGCCGUAACAAUAACGGUCCUAAGGUAGCGAAAUUCCUUGUCGGGUAAGUUCCGACCUGCACGAAUGGCGUAACGACUUCCCCGCUGUCUCCAGCAUAGACUCAGUGAAAUUGAAUUCCCCGUGAAGAUGCGGGGUUCCUGCGGUUAGACGGAAAGACCCCGUGCACCUUUACUGUAGCUUUGCGCUGGUAUUCGUGACUGUUUGUGUAGAAUAGGUGGUAGGCUUUGAAGCCGUGGCGCCAGCCAUGGUGGAGCCGAAAUGUGAAAUACCACCCUAAUGGUUAUGGAUAUCUAACCGCGUUCCCUCAGCGGGAACCGGGACAGCGCAUGGUGGGCAGUUUGACUGGGGCGGUCUCCUCCCAAAUCGUAACGGAGGAGUUCGAAGGUACGCUUGGUACGGUCGGACAUCGUACCUAAAGUGCAAUGGCAAAAGCGUGCUUAACUGCGAGACCGACAAGUCGAGCAGGUGCGAAAGCAGGACAUAGUGAUCCGGUGGUUCUGUAUGGAAGGGCCAUCGCUCAACGGAUAAAAGGUACUCUGGGGAUAACAGGCUGAUACCGCCCAAGAGUUCAUAUCGACGGCGGUGUUUGGCACCUCGAUGUCGGCUCAUCUCAUCCUGGGGCUGUAGCCGGUCCCAAGGGUAUGGCUGUUCGCCAUUUAAAGAGGUACGUGAGCUGGGUUUAAAACGUCGUGAGACAGUUUGGUCCCUAUCUUCCGUGGGCGCUGCAAGAUUGAGAGAGCCUGCUCCUAGUACGAGAGGACCGGAGUGGACGCACCUCUGGUGUACCGGUUGUCACGCCAGUGGCAUCGCCGGGUAGCUAUGUGCGGAAGAGAUAACCGCUGAAAGCAUCUAAGCGGGAAACUCGUCUCAAGAUGAGUCUUGCCGGGGCCUUGAGCCCCCUGAAGAGUCGUUCGAGACCAGGACGUUGAUAGGCUGGGUGUGGAAGUGCAGUAAUGCAUUAAGCU
rnacentral:rRNA from 1 species